UUGAUCUUGUUCAAGCUUUCGGGACAGAAGGUAUGAAUACAAAGGACUUCACAAGGUUUGGAAAGGGAAGUUGUCAGAAGCCAAGGCUAGUGGAAAUUCUAUAAAAAUCCAGGAAGCACAAGGAUAUGGUAGUGCUUUAUGAUUCAUUACAACUUGCCCAUAAGUGUAUACUGAAUUCCUUCUAUGGUUACGUCAUGCGCAACUGAGUUUGGGGUGCAAGAUGGUACUCAAUGGAAAUGGCUGGAGUAGUUACGUAUAGAGGAGCAAAAAUAAUUCAGAAUGCUCGCGUAUUGGUUGAAAAAAUUGGAAAACCACUUGAAUUAGAUAGAGAUGGUAUCUGGUGUGUGCUCCCUGGAUCUUUUCCGGGGAACUUUACUUUCAAAACCAACCAAAUUUAAAUGCAUCAUCCAAGGUUUUCUUAAGUGAGCGUGCUGUUCCUGUUGCAAUAUUUGAAACUGAUGCUGAAAUAAUGGUUUCUUUUUGUGCGGAGAUGGUGCAAGUAAUACUCAGAUGUGGGCAUUCGAUCCAUUAUUGACUGGUCUUAUUACAAGCAAAGGCUUAGUUCAGCAAUUCAGAAAGUUAUUACCAUUCCUGCAGCAAUGCUUCAGGUUGCGAAUCCCGUCCCUAGAGGGUAGUACAUCCUGAUUGGCUGCAUAAGAAGGUUCGUGAGAAGGAGGACAAGUUUCGAGAACGCAAAUUACUUGAUAUCUUCAGCUCGUUGAACAGGGAUGAAUUUUUGAAAAAGAAUAGUGAUGCUGCUGGCGCCAAUGGUGUGAUGAAUGAAGAAAUUGUUAAAGACUUGGAGGACUUUGGAAACAACAGCAGAAAAUCUCCUGCAGACUGGGAGGAUAGGGAAUAUAUUGAUGAUCCUAGUGAGGUUAAACCUGAGGGAUAUGAUUCAAUUCCAAAAGAAAUUCCAGACCCAAAAGCUAAAGAGCCUCAUAACUGGGAUGAUGAAGAGAAUGGUGCGUGGAAACCCCCAAAGGUACCUAAUCCAGCGUAUAAAGGACCAUGGAAGCCCAAGAAAAUUAAGAACCCCAAUUAUAAAGGAAAAUGGAAGACUCCUUGGAUUGAUAAUCCAGAGUUUGAAGAUGACCCUGAUGUUUAUGGGCUUAAGCCAAUUAAGUAUGUAGGAAUUGAGGUUUGGCAGGUAAAGGGUGGGUCAGUUUACGACAAUGUUUUGAUCUGUGAUGACCCAGAUUAUGCAACACAAGUUGUGGAAGAAGUAUUUGCAAACAGGGAGAUUGAAAAAGAGGCCUUUGAGGAAGCAGAGAAAGUGAGAAAAGCACGAGAGGAAGAGGAAGCUCAAAGAGCAAGACAAGAAGGUGAAAGGAGGAGAAGAGAGCGGGGUUAUGAUCGACGGUAGAGGGAUAGAUAUAAGGACAGAUACAGAAGGGACCGUCGUGAUUACAUGGAUGAUUACCAUAAAUUUCUACUGAACAAACGUGAAAUGGAGUUGUUGAAGUUAGAAAACAAGGUUAGGUUUAUCCUUGCAGUUGUGAAGGGAGAGAUCAUUGUAAGUAAUAGGAAGAGAGCUG